CCACUACGUCGACUUCAAUGAUCCCUCUCCAGGCUCCAACACCGAUUUCAUUACCCCUAAUUCUUCAUACUAGCCAACGAAUAACCCAAAGAUUUUCUGAUCGCCACUGAGGCCAAAGCUCCGCGUAGCAAACCUCCUCUCCGUCUUCGACUUCAAUUUCACCACCGCACUACCACUUUGUUCUCUUCGCCAUCAUAUGUUCUCAUUCCCACCGGUUUGUACUACCUUUUUGUUCAGUCCUUAACCAACAUUUUCUCUCCUGUUUAUCACUAUAUAAUCUGAUUUUCUGAUAUCUAAAAGGUUUUAGGAGAAUAGCUUUUCAACCCACCCAAUUUGGUUUCAGUGACGACUCCUUAAUUUAUUGAAUUCUCGGUCUAAAAGAGAGUACAACGGAAGGUCUAUUAAGUAUGAAGAAGCUACAAUCAUCACUGAUGUACCUUGGAAAAAGUUUUUGAAUUUAAAAUUGGUUUCUUCGUUUAAAUCCUCAAAAUUGAGUAAAGUGAAAGUUUUUGUUGAAGCUUUUGCCUUGCCUAGAGCUUGGACUAGGGGUUUUGGUUCUUUUUGGCAGGAGGAAGGAGCCAGUCCAGUUUAUGUGCUCAAACCGUGAGGCCUUUGAAGAGAUCAGUCCUCAAACUUAUGUCUUCGAGCUUCUUAGUUUACUGCUCGGCGAUGAUUACACUGGGAAAAGACAAGGCGGUUUAAGCACUAUGCUUAAGAGGUUUAUUGAUUGCUUUAUUUACUUUUGGUGACGUGGUUGUAGGCCUGUUCCAUGAAGCAAAUAAGAAAUAGUUCCAUGUAGCUAAGAAGAUAGAUAAGAAACGACAAUCAGCCAUUACUAAGUUUAAUAUAUUCCGCAAUGACUGUACAUGGCUCUGGCAUGUAGUUGGAGCCGAGACUCAACGGUUUGUCCACAUGACUAACUGGCGGUACAAGUUCAUGAAAUCAUAGAUAAGGUUUCAGCACGUGCUUGAUGUUUGGGGUGUGAACAAAUCGCUGAAGAAUGUGGCUAAGAAGGCGAUAAAGUGAUCAUAGGAGAGAUGUCUGGAGUUGGUGUGGCAUGACUCAACCAAUGGGUCAAACAAGACUACGACACUUAGUUAGAUGGCCUCAAUGGAGAUGAACCAUACCGACCUGAGAAGUGAAUCAUAUGUCUUUUCUAGUCAAUGAUUAACCAACAAGUUGCAAAUCACUAUGUAUAUAUGUUUUUCUGACAGUUAUGUAUGUAUGCUUAAA